GCCGCCGGCUCCGGUCCCGGCGCUGCCCCCGCUCCCCGGCGUUUUGGCAAGGGCAGGGCUGAACCCCCCCGCCCCGUGCCGCUCGCAGCCACCCCACUGUAUCCGGGCGUUGUGCAUCCCCCAGUGUUUGGCUGGUAAUCCAAGUGGGAUGAGGAGCAUUACAGACUGCAAUUCUCUAGUCUGUGAAUUUAAUGGCACUGUCACUGGUUUGAAGUGAAUGGUUUCUGGCAAUCAACAUCUGCAUGGAAAUAUUUGUCCUGUAGCUCAGGAAUACGGACUCACAGCGCCCGCAUCCAGAGCAGAGCGGCACGGAGGGAAAGGCUUCAGCACCACGGGCAGCGCCCACGCCAGGGCAGGCGGCGGGAGUGGGCACGGCCGGACGGCAGCGGCUCAUGGCUCAUUGCCAAAGGGAGGCAAGCUGGUCGUGCUGAGCAGGAAGGGCCUUUUUGUGCCUGGGCAAAGGUGGCUGUGGUGCGCCUUGGAGAAAGCACAGAACAACAGAGCACGGUGGAAAGCUGCUCUGAUAGAGCCUAUGCUAUGGGAAAGAGAUACUCCUGGAAUAUGGCGAGACCAGAGAAGAUGGAGCCAAGCGGCACCAGUUGUGAGAGUGCAGCAGCAAGGCUUGAGUACACAUUCAAAGCAGUAG
rnacentral:lncRNA from 1 species